CUUGAGGUCCUUUGCCCAGUCUCCUGUCCCAGGUACCCAAGCUCUGUAGUCCCCUGGCAGCUCUUAGGUGGUGGCGCCUGCCACUGUCCUCCGAGGCAUUGCCAGCCUGCAAUCUGAACCAUGCCAUGUUUCCUGGCUAAGGUAAGUCAGGAAACAGAAACCAGCCCCUUGGGAAGCCCACAGAGAAGCUGAGACAUUGCAAGUAAGUUCUGUUCCCUUCCUUCCUUGUGGUGCAAGAGAGGAAGCUAGGAAUUGGGUCAAUAAAAAUGCUACAAAGUUUCCGUUUUGACUGUGGCUGGGGUGCUCACCUCCCUGUGGCAGGCCUUGACUUUCCAGAGCUCCUAGGAAGGCGUUUCCAUAGGGGAAUGAAGGCCUUGAGUUUUCCAUCUGCCAUCUCCAGUCUCUUGACUGGAAAAGUUUAAUCUACUUCAGUAAUUACGGGUAGGGGCAACUGGAGAUGGGUGCGGGUUGUUUCUCUCCAUCAUUUUUUUGAUCUAGUUCAUUUUGUAUAGUGACAUGGAGAUGAUAUUACACCUAGCAUGCUAACAUGACGCACUCAAAUCUGAAUUAUACCAGCUUAACUUCAAUAGCACACAAAACCUCUGCUCCUAGCAUCUCCCCUUACUGCUAACUGAUGUCACUAAUUACUUUAUAAUGCACUGCGUCACCAGUAACGUGUUAGC
rnacentral:lncRNA from 1 species